rnacentral:rRNA from 1 species
GACGAACGCUGGCGGCGUGCUUAACACAUGCAAGUCGAGCGGUAAGGCCCUUCGGGGUACACGAGCGGCGAACGGGUGAGUAACACGUGGGUGACCUGCCCUCCACUCUGGGAUAAGCCUGGGAAACUGGGUCUAAUACCGGAUAUGACCACGGGAUGCAUGUUCUGUGGUGGAAAGUUUUGUCGGUGGGGGAUGGGCCUGCGGUCUAUCAGCUUGUUGGUGGGGUGAUGGCCUACCAAGGCGACGACGGAUAGCCGGCCGGGGAGGGUGAUCGGCCACACUGGGACUGGGACACGGCCCAGACUGCUACGGGAGGCAGCAGUGGGGAAUCUUGCGCAAUGGGCGGAAGCCUGACGCAGCAACGCCGCGUGGGGGAUGACGGCCUUCGGGUUGUAAACCUCUUUCGCGAUCGACGAAGGCUCACUUUCUGUGGGUUGACGGUAGGUCGAGAAGAAGCACCGGCCAACUACGUGCCAGCCGCCGCAGUAAAAC